AUUGAACGCUGGCGGCAGGCCUAACACAUGCAAGUCGAGCGGAGCGGCGGACGGGUGAGUAAUGCCUAGGAAUCUGCCUGGUAGUGGGAGAUAACGUCCGGAAACGGGCGCUAAUACCGCAUACUAUCAGAUGAGCCUAGGUCGGAUUAGCUAGUUGGUGGGGUAAAGGCCUACCAAGGCGACGAUCCGUAACGGGUCUGAGAGGAUGAUCAGUCACUCUGACACUGAGACCGUGUGCAGACUCCUACGGGAGGCAGGAGUGGGAAAUAUUGGGCAAGGGGCGAAAGCCUGAUCCAGCCAAGCGGCGGGUGUGAAGAGGGUGUUAGGAUUGUAAAGCACAUUAAGUUGGGAGGCGUUACCAACAGAAUAAGCACCGGCUAACUUCGUGCCAGCCGCCGCGGUAAUUC
rnacentral:rRNA from 1 species